rnacentral:misc_RNA from 1 species
AAGGAGUCUAACAUAUCUGCGAGUAUUUGGGUGUCAAACCCGAGUGCGCAAUGAAAGUGAACGUAGGGGCCACGCGCAAGCUGCAGCUUCGACCGAUCUGGAUCUUUAGGGAUGGAUUUGAGUAAGAGCAUGUAUGUUGGGACCCGAAAGAUGGUGAACUAUGCCUGAAUAGGGCGAAGCCAGAGGAAACUCUGGUGGAGGCUCGUAGCGAUUCUGACGUGCAAAUAGACCGUCAAAUUUGGGUAUAGGGGCGAAAGACUAAUCGAACCAUCUAGUAGCUGGUUCCUGC